rnacentral:rRNA from 1 species
UACGAAGGGGGCUAGCGUUGCUCGGAAUCACUGGGCGUAAAGCGCACGUAGGCGGAUUGUUAAGUCAGGGGUGAAAUCCUGGAGCUCAACUCCAGAACUGCCUUUGAUACUGGAGAUCUUGAGUCCGGGAGAGGUGAGUGGAACUGCGAGUGUAGAGGUGAAAUUCGUAGAUAUUCGCAAGAACACCAGUGGCGAAGGCGGUUCUCUGGGCCUGACCUGACGCUGAGGAGCGAAAGCGUGGGGAGCGAACAGG